CCUACGGGAGGCAGCAGUAGGGAAUCUCCGCAAUGGGCGAAAGCCUGAUGGAGCACAACCGCGUGAGCGAAGAAGCUGUUCGGCUCGUAAAGCUAUGAAGUAAGGGAAGAUCAAGAGCUGCAUUCUCUGGGUGCAUCCGACGGUACAACAGG
rnacentral:rRNA from 1 species